CAGCAGCCACGGGAAUACGUAGGGUGCAAGCGUUAAUCGGAAUUACUGGGCGUAAAGCGUGCGCAGGCGGUUAUAUAAGACAGAUGUGAAAUCCCCGGGCUCAACCUGGGAACUGCAUUUGUGACUGUAUAGCUAGAGUACGGCAGAGGGGGAUGGAAUUCCGCGUGUAGCAGUGAAAUGCGUAGAUAUGCGGAGGAACACCGAUGGCGAAGGCAAUCCCCUGGGCCUGUACUGACGCUCAUGCACGAAAGCGUGGGGAGCAAACAGGAUUAGAUACCCCCGUAGUCCCUGUCUCUUAUAU
rnacentral:rRNA from 1 species